GUGUGCACCGUAGCCCCAGCUUCUCUCACGGCCUCUCUCAAACCUCCUGGGCCCCCCCUUGCCCCGGCCCCCCCGGAUCUGCAGACCCGCGGCUGAGAGCGGACUUGGCCUGUGCGCGUCUCUGGGCUUGGCAGAAGGCUUCCCGCCCGGGUGCUGUGCGUGAGCGCUGGGGACGCGCUGCGGGGCGAGGCGCGGGGCGAGGCGCGGGGCUGAGCCGGGCUGGGCGCGGGCAGGGCGCGGAGGGGCCGGAGAACUCGCGGAGCUGCCCGCCCGGCCCCGGGCCCCCCCGGCCUGGGAACGCGGCUGCUGAGGAGCCCCCGCCCGCCAAACCCCAGCACCUCCGCGGGCCCCCGUGCUCGGGGCAUUGCAUGGAAACGCAGGGCAUGGGCUCGGAGCCCCGAAACCCCUCCAUGUGGAUUACUUGGUGCUUCUCAGCCGGACUCGGAAGAUUCCAUCUCUUGUCUCCAAUGAGUGAACUGAUUACAUUCUACCUAACAACCACCGGGAACUAACCUGGAGGUGAAAUCGAAGGUUUGUGGCUGAGCUGGAUGGAUGGAUGCUUUGAACCAAGAAAGAAGGUCAAGUCAAAAGUUUCAAAAAAUUGGAGGGAAGAGGCCAAGAGCUGACUCAUCACCAUGGAGAAUACACUUUGCUGUGUUCAAAGACUUUGUUUUGAGCCCCUGGCCACCCCUGCGGCACCUGCAUGGGAAGCAGAGGUGCAGAGUUCCUGGGAGUCUACAACAUUGUCCCUGGCACUGAGGACAGUUACAACGAAAAGCAAAGUCAGGAAGAAUCCCCCUGCCCUCCGGCCUGUGGAGAAGGUCCCAGUCUGGGGUCCCCCGUUGUGAUGGGAAAAGCCGUGCUCCAGCCUGUGUCUCUGGAGAAGGUCCCCUAAGCACCAUCCCAUCCUCACUGAAAUAAUCACAGGGCAUCUCACCAGGUUCAGUGGAUUCUAAAUAGGUCCUGUUGGAUGGAAGAGAGAAAGAAGAGAAAGAAAGAGAAGUGAAGAGAGGAGGAGAAAAGAAAAAAGACGUGGAUACCCCAAAUCAGGACUUUCUCUCCUGCCAACACCAUUAAUGUGUUUCCCAAUCCUUUUUCCCACACUGCACUGUAAAUACCGCCCCCCCAUGAGAAUUUUCAGAUUGAUGUGAGAAAAUGCCAAGAAACAACAACAACAACAACAACAAAAUACCAAGACUCCUUGAUAACCAGCAGGAGAGGAGAGGUGUGAGAUGAUGGGUGGAUACCAGGCAUGUGACAGGACCUGCAUGUGUCUCUCAUAUCUGAAGGAAACAGACAGCAGCCCUGAGUCAGGUCAGGCCGUGAAAGAUGAUCAUUUUAGCUCACUAACGGGGAGAAGAUAUCAGAAGAGACACACGUAUGGUAGAGCUGAAAGACCAGGAACUUUCCCAUCAGAAAACUGAGAAUCUGAAUUCCACCCUCAAGAAGCCUCCAUUUCCUCACUUAUAAAGUGGCCAAAGCUCUUAGAUUCCAUGGAAAAUAUGGUGGGGUAAAGGAGAGGGGAGGUGUGGGGACUGGAUGAAGGGGGGCUGUUUUGAUGGCGUGGUAGCCUCCUUAGAACUUUGGAGGCAGGUUGGGGAGCCUUGUACACAUAAAGAGUAUGAAGCUGGGGGCUGGUUGGUGGCGCACCUGGCUGAGCGCACGUUACAAUGCACAAGGGCCCUAGUUUGAGCCCCUGAUCCCCACUUGCAGGGGGAAAGCUUUGCAAGUGGUGAAGCAGGGCUGCAGGUGUCCCUGUUUCUCUCUUCCUCACUGUCUCCCCUGCGCCCUCAAUUUCUGGCUGUCUAUAUCCAAUAAAUAAAGAAAAAAAUAAAAGUAGGGGGUCGAUGGUAGUGCAACAGGUUAAGCAUACAUGGCACGAAAUGCAAGGACUGGCUCAAGGAUCCUGGUUCCAGCCCUGACUGCCCCCACCUGCAGGGGGUCGCUUCACAAGCUGUGAAACAGGUUUGAAGGUGUCUUUCUCUCCUCCUCUAUGUCUUACCCUCCUGUCUGGAUUUCUUUCUGUCUUAUCCAACAAUAAUAACAACAACAAUAAGGGCAACAGAAAUGGGGAAAAAUGGCCUCCAGGAGCAGUGGAUUCACAGUGCUGGCACUGAGCUCCAGUGAUAACCCUAGAGGCAAUAUAUAAAUUUAAAAAAAUAAAUUUUUUUAAAUUAAAAAAGAAAGAAAAUGAAUGAGAAGCGAGUCAGGUAGUAGUGCAGCGGGUUAAGCUCAGGUGGCACAAAGCUCAAGGACCAGCAUAAGGAUCCGGGUUCGAGCCCCCAGCUCCCCACCCGCAGGGGAGUCGCUUCACAGGUGGUGAAGCAGGUCUGCAGGUGUCUGUCUUUCUCUCCCCCUCUCUGUCUUCCCCUCCUCUCUCCAUUUCUCUCUGUCCUAUCUAACAAUGACAUCAAUAACAAGAAUAAUAACUACAACAAUAAAAAAAUGAAUGAGCAGGGCCGGGUGGUGGUACACCUGGUUGAGCGCACAUUUUACAGUGCCCAAGGACCCGGGUUCGAGCCCCUAGUCCCCACCUGCAGGGGGAAAGCUUCACGAGUGGUGAAACAGGACUGCAGGUAUCUCUCGAUCUCUCUUUCUCUCCCCUCUCCAUUUCUGACUAUCCAAUAAAUAAAUAAAGAUAAUAAAAAAAUGUUAAAAAUGAAUGAGCAAAAUGUCUUCAGGAGAGUGGCAGAUAGUUCUGGGUUCUAGGUACAAAUAUUGACUCUGCCAAUAUUUUGUUCUGUAUGACCUCUGGGGAGUUUUGGUUCUCGUGUUUCUUCUCCAUAGACUAGGGAUGUAAGCACUGACUGUGAUGGAUAAACUACAAGCAAACGCCUAACCCCUAGGAGGGGAUCCUUAACCGACAGAUGAAUACCAAGAUCUUUGCUGAGUUUGCACUCUGUGUUGGAUUUAUCCAUUUUAAACACUUGUUGUCUGGGGUCUCUGGGAGCUGUGAUGGAUUUGACUUGCUCACCUGCUAAGUACAGCCCUAGAGAGAAAAACCAGUGAGUAUCUGAGUUCUAUAGUCACACAGAACAGUGGCCGUUGACCCUCUGUCUUUCAGGUCUCAGAGAUGGAGUUGCAGGAGAUAGACUAGAGCCCAGACCAUGCUUUUUCUGUGUCCCCCUUCCAAAAAACUAUAGCAGGAACCUGAAGAUGUAAGUGCACUUUUGGGUCUCUUAGUAAGUAAAAGAUACAAUUUUCCAUCUAGGUAAUGCAACGAGAUGACAAAGCUCCCCCCAGGCCACACUGUAUUUCAGGUGGGCAUCACAGACACUAACUUCUCAGCAAAUCACACAACUAAUUAGGGCUGGGAGGUGGUUCAAACAGUCAAGAGCACAGUUUACCCUGUAGACUACAGGGUGGAUCCAGACCCUGGCAGGGAAGGAAGGUGCCGGAAUCUACUCCUCCCUCACUCUCUGUGGCAAGAGGUCCCCAUUCUGAGAGCUCAAGUUUCCCCAAAGCCUUCCUACUGGGGAGUCUCUGACACUUGGAUCAGAAAGAGUCUCAGGCAAUGACUUGGGAAA